GUCAUGGUUAUCUUGCGUUGAAGCAGCUGGGGAGAGAAAUGUCAGAGGAGAAUACGCGAAUAUAUGAUGGAUCUUGGACAGAGUGGAGAGAGUAUCCAGACUUGCCCAAGGUUACUUUGUAGUUUUUUUGGUAAACAUUCUGUUUAUGUCAUGAAAUGAAAGAUGUUGCUAGUCUGAAACAAUCACCUCUGUAAC
rnacentral:rRNA from 1 species